UGAAGGGUAGCUCAGUGGUAGAGCAGUUGCUUAGCAUGUGCAAGACCCUGGGUUUUAUCUCCAGCCUUUUAA
rnacentral:tRNA from 1 species